UACGUAGGGUGCGAGCGUUAAUCGGAAUUACUGGGCGUAAAGCGUGCGCAGGCGGUGAUGUAAGACAGGUGUGAAAUCCCCGGGCUUAACCUGGGAACUGCAUUUGUGACUGCAUCGCUGGAGUGCGGCAGAGGGGGAUGGAAUUCCGCGUGUAGCAGUGAAAUGCGUUGAUAUGCGGAGGAACACCGAUGGCGAAGGCAAUCCCCUGGGCCUGCACUGACGCUCAUGCACGAAAGCGUGGGGAGCAAACAGG
rnacentral:rRNA from 1 species